CACACACAGACACACAUACAGACACACAUAAAGACACAUACACGCAGACAUACACACACAUACACACAGACAUACAUACACACAUACAGAGAAACAUUCAUACAAACACAUACAUACAAACAAACAGACACAUAUACAAAAUGUUUUAGUCACCCUCCGGUUUCCUACCUUUUAGAUGCAGGAGGGUGACUAUCCUGGGGUCCAGUGGUGGCUCAGCCUGAUGGCAGUCAGAGUUCCCACUCUUGGGUGUCUGUGUAUUUGUGUAUGUGUAUCUGGGUUUGUAACUAUUUGUCAUUGUGUGUCAGUGUGUGUUUUGUGUGUCUGUAUAUUUGCAUGUGUGUAUCUGUGUGUAUGUAUAUAAGUAUGUGCGUGUCACGAACUUACCUUUACCCGGCGCCCACACCGCUCCUCUCCUCCGGCCACGCGGGCAGAACGCACCGUGUGGCCGCAUCGCCUUAGUCCUUGGGCCUCAUGGCCCAAAUGCUCAACGAGGCCGCGCUGCCUGAAUAUAAUGCUUACCUUCGGUCCCGCAAACGGCUCCCUCUUCUGGUUCACGGGACGAACUACAACCCCUAAAAAGAAAAGCUAAAGUCAAGACGUCAUUACCUUAACCCCUUAAGGACACAUGACAUGUGUGACAUGUCAUGAUUCCCUUUUAUUCCAGAAGUUUGGUCCUUAAUGGGUUAAAGGAACCACAUUAUCUAAGCGACCUAAUGCUGUUUGGGUUUGCAGAGAUGACGUGGACCAAUGGGAAC